UGCCCGGUCGUCUAACGGUAGGACACGUCCCUCUGGAGGAUGGUAUCUUGGUUCGAAUCCAAGCUGGGCAG
rnacentral:tRNA from 1 species